rnacentral:lncRNA from 1 species
GUUGGAGAUCCUUUAUUGAUGUGUCAUUUGCACCCCUGUGGUCCCCGGAGGUGACAAGGUCUUGUGUGUACAGCCCGCCUGGGAGCUGAUGGUUCUGGACCCCGGAAGGCAGGAACGAAGAGGGGUGCUGAGGGCUGGACGACACCGGAGCCUGGACGCGGCUGGGCUGGGGCUCCUGGACCUGGGGCCAGGGACGUUGUCGGCCACUUUGGAGACGGUUUGGAGGGUUCUACUAAGGCUGAGCUUUGCCUGCCCUCCAGCCCAGCAAUUCUGCUCCUCGCUUUGCACCCAGCACCCAUAUUUCCUGAGGGAGCAUCCACUCGUGCGCUGACCAAGGCUCUCUCCACAGUCGCCCAGGCAGCCUGGAUGUCUCUCAGCGGGAAGACAGUGAGUAAACCGUGCGGUUCAAGAUGCAAUACGAUGGCGAUGAACGAGCCGCCUGCACCUGCAUCACCGGUGUAGAGGGAGCCCGUGAGUACCAUGUCAGCCACGAAAGCCAGACACACGAGCGACUGCUCUAUGAUUCCACUCAUAGAAAAUGCAAAAACAGCCAAGAUUCGGCUGCGGGGAUGGAGCUCAGGAUAGUGGCAACCUUUGAGGAGAGUGGUGGGGUCGUGGCUGGGGAGGGGUGAGAGGGCUUCAGGAUGCUUCAGAUCAUGUUGUCUGGGUGUUGACCACAAGGAUGUGCUCACUUUUGGAAGUAUAGUGCUCUGUGUACUUCUGAUUCACGCACUCUUUGUAUGUAUCUUAUAUUUCAACAAAAAUGUUGGGGACAAAAGAGAGACACAAGGUCAAGAGAGGUUCCUUUUCUUCUGUUAGACAUUGCUGUGUUUGCCUAACAUGCCGGAUCUGCAGCAGCCAUUUUGUGACCAUGGGACAAUUAACCGAGCACAGAGCAAGGGCAGCACAGUAGAAAGAUGGAAGUUCCUGGGUUCUUUGUGACUGUGCUGAGGCCCUGGGGAGGGGGGUUCUCGGCACCCUCCUUGAACCCGGGUGGGCCUUUGUGACUGCUUCGACCAGGGGGUGCAGAGGAGGUGAAGCUGUAUGACUUUGCAGCUUGGUCAUAAAAGGUGGUCUCACCUCCACCUGCUCUCUCCCGGGACACACUCGGGACACCCGGCUGUGAACCACAGAGUGAGAAGGCUGGCUUUCCUGAGGCCGCCAUGCUGGAAGGAAAACCUCCAGAUGGGGGGAGACACGAGGUGCGCCAGCUGUUUGUCUCCCCAGCCCAGGUGCCAGGCACGUGAAUGAGGAUGGCCUUCAGAUGAUCCAGCGUGACCACCAGGACCUCCAGCCGCAGCCGCCCAGACCCCUUGAGCUCGAGAUGCCCGCAGAGCCACUCUCGAAUUCACAGCUCACAGGAACUUGAGGCCAUCAAUGAUGCCUGUGUGUCAAGGCCCUAAACUAGGGAUGGCUGCACGGUCACAGAUGACGGUGCACCACCUCCAUUCUGAGCCCUCGCCAGACGAUGGCACACGUCUCCUUCAUCCCUGAAGCCAGGGCUCGGUCAGCAAACUUUUCCCAUAAAGGACCAGAUAGUGAAUAUUUCAGGCUUUACAGACCAGACGAUCGCCUGCCAGACAGCACACAAACGGAUGGGCAUGACUGUUCCAAUAAAACUUUAUUAACAAAAACAGAGAGCCGGGCCCUGAGCAGCAGCUUGCUGACUCCUGGUUGGAGGCAUUUUUGAGUUAGAUUUUCUGUUCCUUGCAGCCAAAAGCAUCCCGUUGGUGACCACAACUGUCCAGAGAACUCAGGGCUGAGGGCAGCCGUGAGGUGGCCUGGGUGUGUGUGCAUGGACUGUGGGUGUGUGUAUGUGGGCUGUGUGGGUGUGUGUGCAUGGACUGUGGGUGUGCAUGCACGGGCUGUGGACGUGCACGCAUGAGCCCUGGGUGGGCCCACCCUUCCCACACCUUAUCAGCAUCUUAUCAGCUCGGCCAGGAGGGCUGACACCCCUGGCUGAGGGCUCUGGCAGCCCCCUCACCCCAGCCCCCCUUUGCUCCCGGCUGGCUCUGGAAUCUCCGACUGCUCCUCGAUGGACGCUCGGUCAGGCAGGCAGGAAUGUGAGCGCGUCCCGCAGCCAGGGAACCUACAGCUACAGUCCGGCGGGACCGCGUGGAAGAGAAGCGAUGAAUGACGGACAGAUGCGCCCCCCCACCCUCCGCCGCCUCCGCUGGGCCUGUGGGACCUGCUUCCCCACCAGCAGUGAUGACGCAGGACCGAGGCCUGCUCAGCGUUUACACACCUGGGACGUCGUGAAGAACUCUCAGAGGUGCACGUUCUAUUAGCCCAUUUCACGGAUGGGGACAGGGCAGCCAGAGAGGGGGAGUCACUGACCCCAGGACACACAGCAGGAGCAGGAUUCCCGUCCUGCCUGGCUACUCCGCGCCAUGCCGUGAACACUGGUCUGGGCCCAGAGUAGGACCCACCACAGAAAGACAUGCUCAGCUGCGUCCCCAGCCCAGGGGUGCUCAGACCGCCAGUCUCUGCCCUCCGGUCCCGCCUCCGCCCUCCCUCCUGGCCAACCCUGCCCGGCCCCUCCUGCAGGGCCCUGUCUGCCCGGGCGGCAGGGGCUCAGGUGGGCGACAGGGCUGCCUCUUUGCUCGUUUGUCGCGAUGGCGCAGGUGAGCUGCUGUGAUUUCGUCGUUUAGAUUAACGGUUUCGCUCCCGGGCACAGUCAUUAGUGAGCAGUUGGGCAUUUAAUGAUUCCGCAGGCAACGUCAAGGGAAAUAUCCCCCCGGUAAAUCCUUACAAAGGCCUGGAGGCUAGGGGGCUGCCUGAGAGGGAGGUGCUGCUGUCUCUGCACACAGACUGGGUGAGGACGGGGGAAACCCUGGCCUGUUCAUCAGCCCAGGGCCAGCCGCCAUGCUGGGUGACGUGGGGGCGCAGCAAGGGGGCUUCUGACAGCCUGGACCUCCCAUCCCAUCCUGUUUCUCUGGGUCCCUGCUGGGGACUUACUCUCCCCUCCCCCCUUUCUCUAGGCUGUGCCUCGUCUGUGCCUGGCACACAGUAGGCGCUCAAUAAAUGCUCGUUAAUUGAACAAAUGGACAGAGAUUGCAAACUUGUGGCCCCUAGGUCAAGUCCAAUGACAGGUGUAUGGAAUUGAGCAGCAUGAAUGAGUUGCUACCAUCUGAUGAGGAGGAUGUUUUAUAUGCAUCUAAACUUCCAGCUUCUAGAAAAGUCUAGAAAAGUUAGGAUUCUGGGCCAUAUUAGGUCAUAUUCCCAUGCAGUAAUAAUUGUUGGAGGUGACUGUGGCCACCCUCUCUAUUGGGGUGUGGGCUCCAAUUUGCCACAGUCUCCACCACUCCCUGUUGUCUCCCAUCAACCACACUGCUCUCACGUAACCUGUCUGGCCCCAGGAGCGUUUGUGUUUGGUGCUCUUGAUUUUAAAAGUCCCCCCUAGUGGCUUAACACGGCAGAGUCUCUUGCUCACACAAUAGUUUGGGGUUCGUGGUCAGGGCAGCCUUAGGGGGAGGGGGGCUCUCCUUCCUCACAGUCAUUCACACCUCAGGCUCCUGCCAUCUUGUGGUUCCACCGUGUCCCUGAGCUUCAUUGCAACGGCAGCUUCCAGUUGGUGGAUAAAGAAAGAGGUGGAGGAGCAUAGACGGAUCAGCCUGCACGUCACUGAACUCAGCCCCCAGGGGCCAGAGCUCGGUGACGGGGCUGCUGCUCACAGCACAGGAGGCUGGGAAGAGCCAUCCUGCUGGUCACCCCGAGGACAGGAGAGCAGACCCUGAGGGGCAGCUGGUGCUGUCCGCCCCGUCCUCUGGCCUCUUUCUCCAGCCCGGGAAGCCAUCGCCUCCUCCUGGGCUUGCAGUCUGGCUACUCGUUAUCCAUGUUUCUCCCUAAUCUAUCGUUCAGGGCGCCAGCUCGGUGUCUGCAGCUCCUUGCGGCUGAGCCUGUGCAGCUCAAAAUGCCUGGUUCUUGCCAUUCAAAAGCUUUGGCUUCUGAAAGGAAACGGCCUUUUUUGAUGCUUUUCUGUUCUCUUAUUCCUCCCCUGGGCAGGGGGGGACACGGUCUAAUCUGGCGAAGGGCAAGGGGCCAGAAGCAGAGAAGGAGCCCCUGGGAUGAAAAGGGUGUUGGCUGGAAGUGAUGUCCCCCACGUGGAGAUACACGAAGUGUGGCGCGCUCCGUCGAGACCCAGCCGUCUUCCUCCCAUGCGUUUCCCCGAGAGAUGACAACGUACGUCCCAUAUAUUCUCGUACACAAAGGUGCACAGCGGCGGUGUUCAUGAAAGCUGAAAACUGGGGACAGCCCAGAUGGCCAUCCGCUGGUGACCAGAACGUGUGACACCAGGAGAGAACCCUCCUGUCCGUUGUGGACUUGUUAAUAGCCACCGGUCAGUGCUGAUUCGUGAGCUGCGGGACGCUGUAACGCAGGAUGCCGGGAGCAGGGGCG